rnacentral:misc_RNA from 1 species
ACUCUAUUUUUUUUUUAUUAAUGUACUUGCUGGCUUAAAAUCGAUUUGCUCCUACCAUUCUGUUAAAGGCAUUCCAUGUAACUCAGCUUUCAGGCAUCAUUCUGUUGAGACUUUGAUGUAAUGAUAGAGAGGAACUGAUUAAAUAUAUUGUCAUUCCAUUCACUGUACUGUACACUGUAUCAAAGAAAAUUACCUCAACAUCUUUAUAUAUUUUGUAAUACACCAAGUAUUCAUAACUUACUAGUGGUUCAGUUAUCUUAGAAUAAAUUCAUAUUUGCUG